UCCGGUGUUUCACCACCGCGAGCUCACGGAGAUGUGCGUGCUGUGAUCCUGUCACAGCAGGUGCAAAGCUCUCCAGAAACUGCACCGAAGUCCGUAAGGACGGGGAAUGAACCGUGAGGUAAAUUCCCUCCGAUUAGUUCCAUAGUUGGGUGAGGU
rfam:Haloalkaliphilic bacterium ACht6-1 contig00077, whole genome shotgun sequence.